AGCAGCCGCGGUAAUUCCAGCUCCAAUAGCGUAUAUUAAAGUUGUUGCAGUUAAAAAGCUCGUAGUUGAAUUUCGGGGUCAGCAGGUUGGUCGUGCCAAUGGUAUGCACUGGCCUUGCUGAUUCCUCCCUCUUGAUGAGCCGUAAUGCCAUUAAUUUGGUGUUGCGGGGAAUCAGGACUGUUACUUUGAAAAAAUUAGAGUGUUUAAAGCAGGCAAGCGCUUGAAUACAUUAGCAUGGAAUAAUGAAAUAGGACGUUCGAUCCUAUUUUGUUGGUUUCUAGGAUUGACGUAAUGAUUAAUAGGGAUAGUUGGGGGCAUUAGUAUUCAAUUGUCAGAGGUGAAAUUCUUGGAUUUAUUGAAGACUAACUACUGCGAAAGCAUUUGCCAAGGAUGUUUUCAUUAAUCAAGAACGAAAGUUAGGGGAUCGAAGACGAUCAGAUACCGUCGUAGUCUUAACCAUAAACUAUGCCGACUAGGGAUCGGAUGAU
rnacentral:sRNA from 1 species